rnacentral:lncRNA from 1 species
CACCAGGGUCGGUCCCUACUGGCCCCCAGCCUUGCCCUGGCCACGGGCCUUUGGUUGAUGGUUCUGUCUCCAAAGAGCUCCAUCCAGGUGUAAUGCCUGGUUUUGACUUCCUUUGCCCUGCCUUGUCCUCAUGGGCUGCCUUGUGUUUUGGAGGAUUGGCUGAACCAGCUGCUGUCCUUGGACCUUUCCUGCUCCUUGCUCAGACAGCUCUCUCUUGGAAGGAAGAUUAUAUGGCACAUCCUGUGCUGGGCCAAGUCCCUGAGGUUCAUUUGCAGAAGGAGAAGAAAUAA